UACAGAGGUGGCAAGCGUUGUUCGGAAUUACUGGGCGUAAAGGGCGCGUAGGCAGCCAUCUAAGUCAGACGUGAAAUCCCUCGGCUCAACCGAGGAACUGCGUCCGAUACUGAAAGGCUUGAAUCCGGGAGAGGGAUGUGGAAUUCCAGGUGUAGCGGUGAAAUGCGUAGAUAUCUGGAGGAACACCGGUGGCGAAGGCGGCAUCCUGGACCGGCAUUGACGCUGAGGCGCGAAAGCUAGGGGAGCAAACGGG
rnacentral:rRNA from 1 species